CACAGCCCCUCUGGAGAAAGGGAGAAGAAUCUGCCCUCAACUCCCAUCUUGCUUUGGCUCACUCACGAGGCAUCCAUUCCCUGGAUGUGCUGGUCAUGCAUGGGUAGAUGCAGCGUCUCACCCCCAAACGGCCAGAGAAGCCCCAAAGGACUGACUGAGAGGUGCCUGUACGAGGGUCGCCUGGAGAGGUCCCUCCCUGUGGAAUCUGGAAAGGUCCCGGGGAAGUGACUCAGCAGAUAUCUGAUGAAGCUGAAGACGAGUGAGACUUGCCAGGCCCUUGUUUUCUUGCUGUAGCCCAGAGGUCCUGCAGCAGUGGAGCAGGCCUUGGUGGUGGC
ensembl:lncRNA